UGCAUCUCCAGGAUCCUCCCUGGUUGUUUUGCCUAGUUUCUAUUGGCUAGUUACAAAACACCCGGACACUCCUCCCCUGAGAAGGCUGGCUGCCAUUCGUAAAAAGCAGCACAUCAACUCCACCACUAGCCAGUAAAUGAUCCUUCCUGUUGUUCCAGCGCCAAGGAGACAUUCAGUCCUAACAGGCAGUCCACAGGUGGUUGAUUAAAAUGAAAACUGCACUUUUUGUCUGGUCCCACAUUACGAGCCGUCAUGCCGAUGUUUCCCACAUGGAUUAGAAGCUUCAGAUGACAAAGUCCUGCAAACCAACCUCAUUUCCUCCAUCGUUUUUUGUACCUUUAAUUAAAUUUCAUCUCACUUCUUGAG